GACGAACGCUGGCGGCGUGCUUAACACAUGCAAGUCGAGCGGUAAGGCCCUUUCGGGGGUACACGAGCGGCGAACGGGUGAGUAACACGUGGGUGACCUGCCCUCAGCUCUGGGAUAAGCCUGGGAAACUGGGUCUAAUACUGGAUAUGACUCCACGGUGCAUGUCGUGGGGUGGAAAGCCUUGUGCGGCUGAGGAUGGGCCCGCGGCCUAUCAGCUUGUUGGUGGGGUGANGGCCUACCAAGGCGACGACGGGUAGUCGGCCUGAGAGGGCGACCGGCCACACUGGGACUGAGACACGGCCCAGACUCCUACGGGAGGCAGCAGUGGGGAAUCUUGCGCAAUGGGCGAAAGCCUGACGCAGCGACGCCGCGUGAGGGAUGACGGCCU
rnacentral:rRNA from 1 species